GAUGAACGCUGGCGGCGUGCCUAAUACAUGCAAGUCGAGCGAACAGACGAGGAGCUUGCUCCUCUGACGUUAGCGGCGGACGGGUGAGUAACACGUGGAUAACCUACCUAUAAGACUGGGAUAACUUCGGGAAACCGGAGCUAAUACCGGAUAAUAUAUUGAACCGCAUGGUUCAAUAGUGAAAGACGGUUUUGCUGUCACUUAUAGAUGGAUCCGCGCCGCAGUAGCUAGUUGGUAAGGUAACGGCUUACCAAGGCAACGAUGCGUAGCCGACCUGAGAGGGUGAUCGGCCACACUGGAACUGAGACACGGUCCAGACUCCUACGGGACGCAGCAGUAGGGAAUCUUCCGCAAUGGGCGAAAGCCUGACGGAGCAACGCCGCGUGAGUGAUGAAGGUCUUCGGAUCGUAAAACUCUGUUAUUAGGGAAGAACAAAUGUGUAAGUAACUAUGCACGUCUUGACGGUACCUAAUCAGAAAGCCACGGCUAACUACGUG
rnacentral:rRNA from 1 species